UGUACUCGCAAUGGGCAAAGAGACAUCUUGCUGGUGACAGUCUUCGUAGAUCAGUCAGGGGCAGAGCAGAUGGCAGGCCUUUGUUCAUCCUAGCUUGAUGCCUGGCUUGGUGGCCAAAGCUGCCUUAUGCCUAGGACUCAUAA